UGGGGAAUUGUUCACAAUGGGCGCAAGCCUGAUGACGCAACGCCGCGUGGGGAAUGAAGGUCUUCGGAUCGUAAACCCCUGUCGAAUGGGACGAAAGACUCGCGAGUGAAUACUUCGCGAGAGUGACGGUACCGUUAAAGGAAGCCACGGCUAACUCUGUGCCAGCAGCCGCGGUAAUACAGAGGUGGCAAGCGUUGUUCGGAAUUACUGGGCGUAAAGGGCGCGUAGGCGGCCCUCUAAGUCAGACGUGAAAUCCCCCGGCUUAACCUGGGAACUGCGUCUGAUACUGGAGGGCUUGAGUAUGGGAGAGGGAUGUAGAAUUCCAGGUGUAGCGGUGAAAUGCGUAGAUAUCUGGAGGAAUACCGGUGGCGAAGGCGGCAUCCUGGACCAUUACUGACGCUGAGGCGCGAAAGCUAGGGGAGCAAACGGGAUUAGAUACCCCUGUAGUCCCUGAGCGGGCUGGCAAGGCGCAU
rnacentral:rRNA from 1 species